AGGGCAUUCGCCAAGAGGCAAGGCAUGUGACUUUGACUCACAAAUACAUCGGUUCGAAUCCGAUAUGCCCUG
rnacentral:tRNA from 1 species